UUAACAAAGCAAGAGCAAAGGUGCCUCUGACACAAACAUAACGUAUACAAGGAGGAGUUUUCUUCCAUACAGGAGGUGCCAAUACAAAGACCUGACUCGGGGGGAAUUUCUGAGUCGCCUGUAGCAUCAAGAUUAAGAUUAAAGCCUCGAGGAAGAAGAACAGACCGAGGAGGAAGGGCGUUCGUCAGGAAUGAACAAGUGAAGUGCCCAGUGCGAGUGACGAGUGAAGGGAGCGAGAGAGAGAGAGAGAGAGAGAGAGAGAGAGAGAGAGAGAGAGAGAGAGAGAGAGAGAGAGAGAGAGAGAGAGAGAGAGAGAGA